UCCAGACUCCUACGGGAGGCAGCAGUGGGGAAUAUUGCACAAUGGGGGAAACCCUGAUGCAGCAACGCCGCGUGAGUGAAGAAGUCAUUCGUGAUGUAAAGCUCUAUCAGCAGGGAAGAAAAUGACGGUACCUGACUAAGAAGCCCCGGCUAACUACGUGCCAGCAGCCGCGGUAAUACGUAGGGGGCAAGCGUUAUCCGGAUUUACUGGGUGUAAAGGGAGCGUAGACGGCGACGCAAGUCUGAAGUGAAAUGCCAGUGCUCAACACUGGAACUGCUUUGGAAACUGUGUGGCUAGAGUGCAGGAGAGGUAAGUGGAAUUCCUAGUGUAGCGGUGAAAUGCGUAGAUAUAUGGAAGAACACCAGUGGCGAAAGCGGCUCUCUGGUCUGUAACUGACGCUGAGGUUCGAAAGCGUGGGUAGCAAACAGGAUUAGAUACCCUUGUAC
rnacentral:rRNA from 1 species